rnacentral:rRNA from 1 species
UACGUAGGUGGCUAGCGUUGUCCGGAUUUACUGGGCGUAAAGCGUGCGCAGGCGGUUCGUUAAGUUCGAUGUGAAAGCCCCGGGCUCAACCUGGGAACUGCAUUGGAAACUGGCGAGCUUGAAUGCGGCAGAGGGGGGUGGAAUUCCGCGUGUAGCAGUGAAAUGCGUAGAGAUGCGGAGGAACACCGAUGGCGAAGGCAGCCCCCUGGGCCGACAUUGACGCUCAGGCACGAAAGCGUGGGGAGCAAACAGG